rnacentral:rRNA from 1 species
GAUGAACGCUGGCGGCGUGCCUAAUACAUGCAAGUCGAGCGAACAGACGAGGAGCUUGCUCCUCUGACGUUAGCGGCGGACGGGUGAGUAACACGUGGAUAACCUACCUAUAAGACUGGGAUAACUUCGGGAAACCGGAGCUAAUACCGGAUAAUAUAUUGAACCGCAUGGUUCAAUAGUGAAAGACGGUUUUGCUGUCACUUAUAGAUGGAUCCGCGCCGCAUUAGCUAGUUGGUAAGGUAACGGCUUACCAAGGCAACGAUGCGUAGCCGACCUGAGAGGGUGAUCGGCCACACUGGAACUGAGACACGGUCCAGACUCCUACGGGGGGCAGCAGUAGGGAAUCUUCCGCAAUGGGCGAAAGCCUGACGGAGCAACGCCGCGUGAGUGAUGAAGGUCUUCGGAUCGUAAAGCUCUGUUGUUAGGGAAGAACAAAUGUGUAAGUAACUAUGCACAUCUUGACGGUACCUAAUCAGAAAGCCACGGCUAACUACGUG